CUCCGCUAUGUUUUAUAGCAGGCUUUUUAGCGCUGUAGGAAAAAGCAAACUGAUGUUGCUCAGUGCGUGCUCUGUGCUUUUGCACGGGAGGUGACCGUGAGGGCCAGGACUCAGUUUCUGAGCAGAGACUCGGGCUGCGUCGGUUCUGUUGGCCUGUGGAUACAACGCCGGCCUGACUCAAUGGAGAAUGCUCCAAAUCACAGUCUCUACUUGUAUCAUAAGAUCCCAGCCAGUGCCUGCUGUAAUCGUUUUCUCUGGGAAGUGAUGGCUAGAAAAAACCUUGUGGCUGGUGAUCGCAAAAGACUUUCUGCAGAGAUCUUCGAAGCAGAUGGUUAUGGAUCACCGAGAGCUUCCCAGAAUAACUGGAAAAGGGGCAUGAAAGGUGUUCGGUAGGAUUAGUCCUCCCAAAGAUCACUUUGGAGUAUCGCUUGUCCCAAAUCCCUUCCCAUCAGCAGUCAUUGUCCUGAAUCGUUAUUCUUCUCCAAAAUUCUGGCUCUUGGAUGGAAAUUGGAAUAUACUUUCUCCUUCUUGCAUUUGUUAAUGAAUAUAUCCAGUUUACCCACGAAGCUCUACAUGGCAUGAUAAACUAAUUGCAUGCCAUAUUAUACUUUCCUCAUGCACUGCAGACUGUUUCAGCACUAGGAAGAAUUCACGCAUAACCACAAAUCCUCAAGGGAUGGAAUUCAAGAGAUAUCCAGUGGUCAGGAAUCUCUAGAAACUGAAAGGCUUUUGAGUUAUUUGCUUUUAAGUAGAUGGUUUGUUUUUUAACAAAAUGGAAACUCUUAAUAAAUUUUCAUGUGAUUGAAUACUU
rnacentral:lncRNA from 1 species